rnacentral:tRNA from 1 species
UCCCUGGUGGUCCACUGGCUAAGACUCUGCACUCCCAAUGCAGGGGCCCUGGGUUCAAUCCCUGGUCGGGGAA